CCCUUAGACGUUCUGGGCCGCACGCGCGCUACACUGACCAGUGCAACAAGCAUCCGUCCUUGGCCGACAGGCUCGGGCAAUCUUUGAACGCUGGUCGUGAUGGAGAUAGACUUUUGCAAUUUUUGGUCUUCAACGAGGAAUUCCUAGUAACGCAAGUCAUCAACUUGCAUUGAUUACGUCCCUGCCCUUUGUACACACCGCCCGUCGCACCUACCGAUUGAAUGGUCCGGUGAAGCCUCCGGAUUGGCGCGCACCUCGGUGCCGCCGAGAAGUUGGCUAAACCUUACCAUUUAGAGGAAGGUGAAGUCGUAACA
rnacentral:rRNA from 1 species